UGGGGAAUAUUGGACAAUGGGCGAAAGCCUGAUCCAGCCAUGCCGCGUGUGUGAAGAAGGUCUUCGGAUUGUAAAGCACUUUAAGUUGGGAGGAAGGGCAUUAACCUAAUACGUUAGUGUUUUGACGUUACCGACAGAAUAAGCACCGGCUAACUCUGUGCCAGCAGCCGCGGUAAUACAGAGGGUGCAAGCGUUAAUCGGAAUUACUGGGCGUAAAGCGCGCGUAGGUGGUAUGUUAAGUUGGAUGUGAAAUCCCCGGGCUCAACCUGGGAACUGCAUUCAAAACUGACUGACUAGAGUAUGGUAGAGGGUGGUGGAAUUUCCUGUGUAGCGGUGAAAUGCGUAGAUAUAGGAAGGAACACCAGUGGCGAAGGCGACCACCUGGACUAAUACUGACGCUCAGGUGCGAAAGCGUGGGGAGCAAACA
rnacentral:rRNA from 1 species